UAAGCGACUAAGCGUACACGGUGGAUGCCCUGGCAGUCAGAGGCGAUGAAGGACGUGCUAAUCUGCGAUAAGCGUCGGUAAGGUGAUAUGAACCGUUAUAACCGGCGAUUUCCGAAUGGGGAAACCCAGUGUGUUUCGACACACUAUCAUUAACUGAAUCCAUAGGUUAAUGAGGCGAACCGGGGGAACUGAAACAUCUAAGUACCCCGAGGAAAAGAAAUCAACCGAGAUUCCCCCAGUAGCGGCGAGCGAACGGGGAGCAGCCCAGAGCCUGAAUCAGUGUGUGUGUUAGUGGAAGCGUCUGGAAAGGCGCGCGAUACAGGGUGACAGCCCCGUACACAAAAAUGCACAUGCUGUGAGCUCGAUGAGUAGGGCGGGACACGUGGUAUCCUGUCUGAAUAUGGGGGGACCAUCCUCCAAGGCUAAAUACUCCUGACUGACCGAUAGUGAACCAGUACCGUGAGGGAAAGGCGAAAAGAACCCCGGCGAGGGGAGUGAAAAAGGACCUGAAACCGUGUACGUACAAGCAGUGGGAGCACGCUUAGGCGUGUGACUGCGUACCUUUUGUAUAAUGGGUCAGCGACUUAUAUUCUGUAGCAAGGUUAACCGAAUAGGGGAGCCGAAGGGAAACCGAGUCUUAACUGGGCGUUAAGUUGCAGGGUAUAGACCCGAAACCCGGUGAUCUAGCCAUGGGCAGGUUGAAGGUUGGGUAACACUAACUGGAGGACCGAACCGACUAAUGUUGAAAAAUUAGGGGAUGACUUGUGGCUGGGGGUGAAAGGCCAAUCAAACCGGGAGAUAGCUGGUUCUCCCCGAAAGCUAUUUAGGUAGCGCCUCGUGAAUUCAUCUCCGGGGGUAGAGCACUGUUUCGGCAAGGGGGUCAUCCCGACUUACCAACCCGAUGCAAACUGCGAAUACCGGAGAAUGUUAUCACGGGAGACACACGGCGGGUGCUAACGUCCGUCGUGAAGAGGGAAACAACCCAGACCGCCAGCUAAGGUCCCAAAGUCAUGGUUAAGUGGGAAACGAUGUGGGAAGGCCCAGACAGCCAGGAUGUUGGCUUAGAAGCAGCCAUCAUUUAAAGAAAGCGUAAUAGCUCACUGGUCGAGUCGGCCUGCGCGGAAGAUGUAACGGGGCUAAACCAUGCACCGAAGCUGCGGCAGCGACGCUUAUGCGUUGUUGGGUAGGGGAGCGUUCUGUAAGCCUGCGAAGGUGUGCUGUGAGGCAUGCUGGAGGUAUCAGAAGUGCGAAUGCUGACAUAAGUAACGAUAAAGCGGGUGAAAAGCCCGCUCGCCGGAAGACCAAGGGUUCCUGUCCAACGUUAAUCGGGGCAGGGUGAGUCGACCCCUAAGGCGAGGCCGAAAGGCGUAGUCGAUGGGAAACAGGUUAAUAUUCCUGUACUUGGUGUUACUGCGAAGGGGGGACGGAGAAGGCUAUGUUGGCCGGGCGACGGUUGUCCCGGUUUAAGCGUGUAGGCUGGUUUUCCAGGCAAAUCCGGAAAAUCAAGGCUGAGGCGUGAUGACGAGGCACUACGGUGCUGAAGCAACAAAUGCCCUGCUUCCAGGAAAAGCCUCUAAGCAUCAGGUAACAUCAAAUCGUACCCCAAACCGACACAGGUGGUCAGGUAGAGAAUACCAAGGCGCUUGAGAGAACUCGGGUGAAGGAACUAGGCAAAAUGGUGCCGUAACUUCGGGAGAAGGCACGCUGAUAUGUAGGUGAAGUCCCUCGCGGAUGGAGCUGAAAUCAGUCGAAGAUACCAGCUGGCUGCAACUGUUUAUUAAAAACACAGCACUGUGCAAACACGAAAGUGGACGUAUACGGUGUGACGCCUGCCCGGUGCCGGAAGGUUAAUUGAUGGGGUUAGCGCAAGCGAAGCUCUUGAUCGAAGCCCCGGUAAACGGCGGCCGUAACUAUAACGGUCCUAAGGUAGCGAAAUUCCUUGUCGGGUAAGUUCCGACCUGCACGAAUGGCGUAAUGAUGGCCAGGCUGUCUCCACCCGAGACUCAGUGAAAUUGAACUCGCUGUGAAGAUGCAGUGUACCCGCGGCAAGACGGAAAGACCCCGUGAACCUUUACUAUAGCUUGACACUGAACAUUGAGCCUUGAUGUGUAGGAUAGGUGGGAGGCUUUGAAGUGUGGACGCCAGUCUGCAUGGAGCCGACCUUGAAAUACCACCCUUUAAUGUUUGAUGUUCUAACGUUGACCCGUGAUCCGGGUUGCGGACAGUGUCUGGUGGGUAGUUUGACUGGGGCGGUCUCCUCCUAAAGAGUAACGGAGGAGCACGAAGGUUGGCUAAUCCUGGUCGGACAUCAGGAGGUUAGUGCAAUGGCAUAAGCCAGCUUGACUGCGAGCGUGACGGCGCGAGCAGGUGCGAAAGCAGGUCAUAGUGAUCCGGUGGUUCUGAAUGGAAGGGCCAUCGCUCAACGGAUAAAAGGUACUCCGGGGAUAACAGGCUGAUACCGCCCAAGAGUUCAUAUCGACGGCGGUGUUUGGCACCUCGAUGUCGGCUCAUCACAUCCUGGGGCUGAAGUAGGUCCCAAGGGUAUGGCUGUUCGCCAUUUAAAGUGGUACGCGAGCUGGGUUUAGAACGUCGUGAGACAGUUCGGUCCCUAUCUGCCGUGGGCGCUGGAGAACUGAGGGGGGCUGCUCCUAGUACGAGAGGACCGGAGUGGACGCAUCACUGGUGUUCGGGUUGUCAUGCCAAUGGCACUGCCCGGUAGCUAAAUGCGGAAGAGAUAAGUGCUGAAAGCAUCUAAGCACGAAACUUGCCCCGAGAUGAGUUCUCCCUGACUCCUUGAGAGUCCUGAAGGAACGUUGAAGACGACGACGUUGAUAGGCCGGGUGUGUAAGCGCAGCGAUGCGUUGAGCUAACCGGUACUAAUGAACCGUGAGGCUUAACCU
rnacentral:rRNA from 1 species